CAAACGGGUGCGGAACACGUACGCAACUUUCCCAAAACUGGUGAAUAGCCCUCCGAAAGGAGGAUUAAUACACCGUAACAUAAUGAAAUGGCAUCAUUUUAUUAUUAUAGCUCCGGCGGUUUUGGAUGGGCGUGCGCCUGAUUAGGUAGUUGGCGGGGUAACGGCCCACCAAGCCUGCGAUCAGUAACUGGUGUGAGAGCACGACCAGUCACACGGGCACUGAGACACGGGCCCG
rnacentral:rRNA from 1 species